rnacentral:lncRNA from 1 species
UUUUUGCCUUUUGUCUUUUGAGGGCCGCACCCUUGGCAUACGGAGGUUCCCAGGCUAGGGACUGAAUCAGAGCUACAGCUGCCAACCUACACCAGAGCCACAGCAAUGCCAGACCUGAGCCGCAUCUGUGACCUACAGCACAGCUCAUGGCAACCCCAGAUCCUUAACCCACUGAGCGAGGCUGGGGAUUGAACCCACAACCUCAUGAUUCCUAGUCGGAUUCGUUUCCUCUGUGCCACGACGGGAACUCCCCCCAAGUGCUUCUUAGCCUUUCUUACUCCAAGCUCCCAUGACUUCCUUUGCCUCUCUGCUCCAUCUAACACCUUCUCAUGCCGGCAAGAUGCUCUUCCUAAAACACUGUUUUCAUCGUGUCGUUCUCCCUAUUCACUGUCACUGGAUCCUCCUUGUUAGAACGUGAGAACUCCUCGGCACAGCAUUUGAUACACCUGGCAAGCAGAGUCCAACCCAGACACACAAAAGGAGUCUUGUGCCUGGGGGCUGCAUCCACUGAGAGCUGGUCUUGGUGCAAAUUAGACAAAAGAUCUUAAGCAUUUGCUAGGGAUUUUCUCUUUGAAGACGUCCAUGUGCCAUGUGUCCAGAGAGAAGAUGGAUCACCAGACUGCCUUUAGGAUCUAUUCUAUUUUCAAGAGUUUUGGGCUCCACAGGACAGAGCUUCCCUGUACCAUUUCUCUUCCCAAACAUCUGGAGAAUAACCCCCAACACUGUAUGAUUUCUCCUCCUGGUCUGGAUGAGUCUAACUUAUACACGAGCUGAAAGCCUUAUGACCACAGCUAAUUGCCUCCUGGCAGGGCUUCCUCUCUUCUUGCCAUCCUGCAGGUGGCCACCAGAGGGCGACCUCCACCCAUAAGGCAAAUCUGUCACUUCCUUGCUUUAAGCCCUCACCUGGCCGCCCCAGCUCCUCCCCACAGUAUGGAUGCAACCCAGAAUUGCUUGUUCUUGCAAAGCAGGCUGUUUCUGGUAGCUCUGGGCUUUGUUCGGGCUUCCCCUCCCCCGAGGGGAACCCAGUCCUUCAAAAUUUGGAGGAGAAUUUUUAAAGCUCAGUUCUGGUCUCAUUUCCAGGACAUCUCCCUUGGCUGCCCACCUGCCAGGCUGGUCCAGGGCAUCCCCUCCUCUGCAGCCUUCUAGUGCUUCCUAAAGAUCCAGCACAAUCCUUUGUGUCACUUUAAAACAUCAGUUUAAGAGUUCCCUUGGUGGCUCAGACAUUAACGAACUCGACUGGGAGCCAUGAGGACACUGGUUCGAUCCCUGGUCUCAGAAAGUGGGUUAAGGAUCUGGUAUUGCUGUGGUUGUGGUGUAGGCCGGCCGCUACAGCUCCCAUUUGACCCUUAGCCUGGGAACCUCUAUAUGCCAUGGGUGUGGCCCUAAAAAGAAAAAAAAAUAAUAAUAAAAAAAUAAAAAUAAAAGAGAGAGAGAGAGAGAGUUGCAGGGGACACCUAUAGAGUAAAAGAAACCUAAGAAAUAGAUAUCAUCUGUAUCAGUUAUGGAUUAUGGCAUCGCCAAUUACUUCAAAACCUACCAGCUUAAAAGAACAAAGAGUUUCUGAGGGAGGAGCUUUAGCUGGGAGAUUCUGGCCUAAGGUUAUCAGGUUAGAGACAAGCUGCUAACAGUUCCUAAUGGUUGGGUUGAAACUCCAAUUUUUUGUGAAGUGGGCUGCUCUACAAAGUUACCUGAGUUUCCCUAGACAAGGUAGCUGGCUUCCCCCAGAGUGAGGGAGCCUAGAGAGACAGACAGAGGAAUGAGUGUGUUUAAGUCUACCUGGGUACGUGUUUUAGUCUACUGAACACAGGCUGCCAUAACAAAGUACUAUGGACUGCGUGGCUUAAACAUUUAUUCAUUUUCUCACAGCUCUGGAGGCCAGAAGUCCAUGAUCAAGGUGCUGGCAGAUUUAGUUUCUGGCAAGAGCUCUCUUUCUGGCUUGUAGACAGCUGCCUUCUCUCUGCCUCCCCAACCUGGCAUUCGCCUUUCCUCCAUGAGCAUGGACAGUCCUGUGUAUCUCUUCCUCUUAUAAUUGGAUUAGAGUCCCACCUUUAUAAACUCAUUUUGAAACUGACAGCAUUUAUGAUGUGCACUUAGCCAGGACCCAGCCUGGGAGUCAAACCCAUCGUUCUGAUGGCCUCUUGAGCAAGUAUUGCCUCUCUUGAGCCAUUAUUAAUUUACAGUGGUCUCCCAAAGUUCCCUAGGCUUCCCUCUCUACCGAUGCUCCCUUAUUGGGACUUCUACAACUCCCUGUGUAACUAUCCUACCCCAUCCCUAUCAAUUUAACCUUGUCUUCCUAAAGGCCUUGUCAUCUUGGGGGUUUGGGCUUCAACAUAUGAGUUGGAGGGAAGGAAGAAUUUCGUUUAUAUCAAUGUGAUAAUAAUAUUAAAAUCAUUACUGAAAUACAAGUGAAAUGAUAUCUAAAAUUUGCUUCAAUGGAGUUCUGUUGUGGCUCAGUGGUAACCUACCCAACUAGUAUCCAUGAUGAUGUGGGUUCAAUCCCUGGCCUCGCUCAGUGGGCUAAGGAUCCAGCAUUGCCACAAGCUGUGGUGUAGGCCGAAGUCAUGGCUCCAAUCUGGCAUUGCUGUGGUUGUGGCAUUUGGCCAGUGGCGAAAGCUCUGAUUCCACUCCUAGCCUGGGAACUUCUAUAUGCCGCAGGUGUGGCUCUAAAAAGACAAAAAUAAAAACAAAAUAUCAGGUAAGGUGGGAAGGGAAGUAGCUUGUGGUACAGAACAGUUUUAGUUGUGAGUUGAUAAUUGUUGAAGAUGAUGAUAGACUAAUGGGGCUUUAUCAUGCUACUCCUUUCUUUUUAUGUAUGUCACAUACUCUCCACAAUAAAAGUGGGAUUUGUUUGUUCGUUUGCUUUUAAUGACCAACUAGACUGAGACCCUUGAGAGCAGAAGUGAAAUUAACCAAGGCCAUAGAGGAUGACACCAAAGCUUGCUGAAUAAAUGAUGGCCAUCAUAGCCAGUGUUGGUUUAUGUACUUUUUUUUUUUUUAAACUUUUUAGGGCGGCGCUCUCGGCAUAUGAAGAUUCCCAGGCUAGGGGCUGAAUUGGAGCUGUAGCCGCCAGUCUACACCACAGCAACAGCAAUACCAGAUCCAAGCCGAGUCUGUGACCUACACCACAGCUCACGGCAACACUAGAUCCUUAACCCACUGGAGCGAGGCCAGGGAUCAAACCUGAGUCCUCAUGGAUACUAGUCAGAUUCGUUUCCAUUGAGCCAUGACAGGAACUCCCAAAUUCCAGGUAUUUUUAAACAUAGUAGUCACACCUAACCAUGAUGCUAGGUUGUGAAUUGGUUUGGGAUUAGGAUACCAGGAGAGAGGUUUUGCCUCUCCCUAACUGGGUGACUUUUGAUAAAUAAUCAAUCUGGUCUCAGUUUCCCCAACUACAGAAAUAGACUGAAGUCAUUCAUUUACUUAUUAAGCCCCUACUAUGUGCCAGAGAUCUGAACUAAGCACCUACUGUGUGCCAAAAAGGCCUGAACUGAGUAUAAAGAAAACUGUGAUGUCAACCCUGUCCUCAAAGAUGUCAUGGUCAAACUCAAUGGCUUUCUAUCUUUCCAUCCCCUGAUUUGCGAUGUUCCUAGUCUGAUGGUCCUGAUGAAAUAAAUAGUAAGCAAGAGAGCCUUCUGGUUAUGUCUGAAUUCCAGCGGAUAAGGUGUACGGCACCCCAUUUAAGAGUUGUUGCUUCCAUUGCCUAGAUCUUUAAAAGUCUACUCUUAAUUGAAUUUUUUUUUGCUAUUUUUUUUGCUGGACACUUUACGUAAUUCUCUUAUUCAAUCCUUACUAGAUGUUAUGGCUUCUUUACAGAUGAGGAAACCAUGAGGUGGUGGCCCAUCUGACCUGUCUUGGCUUCGCUCUGCUCCUUUCAGCCUCGCGGCUUCUGCCUAUUGGGGUCUCUUCUCUUACCUCUCUGUCUGCCCUCUUGACUUUAGCUCCCCCAAACACUGAUGUUUGCACACUGAUCUGAACCGUCAGAUUUGGGGGAGCCACCUGAGCCGCGUGUCCCUUCUUUCCCUUUCCCCGCCAAAGAAUGGGUUCCUUCACAGGCUUCAGAGCCUUUCUCUGUCCCUCCCCAGCCUGGGAGUGUGCUCUGCCCUUUCUGGCUUCUCCCUUCUGCCCCCUCGUGGACGGAAGCUGGCAGGAGUGUGUGCAACGCCCAGCACCCGACCCGGAGCACAGUUGCCCAAAACGCAUUUCUUUUCUUCACCCAGUGCUUUCUCAGGCCCUCAGGGUUUGCCCUGUGCUCCUCUCCUCACCGCCCUUUCAGCCUCAUGUGCCCAGACCCUCUCUUAGUUCCCUGCUGCCCGUUUGUCUGCCCCUCCAUUCCCCUCCCCCUUCCUCAUGACCUCUUCAUCACCCAACCUUGUGUGUAACAAGGGGAAAGACCCCCUAAAGGAAGUAGAUUGAUAAAGCCUCACCCUCAUUUGGUCCCCGAUUACGCUCGGGCGAUGCACCUCUCUGAGGCUGCCUCCUCUCAGGAGUCUCUUCCAACUCCACGUUGGUGCUAUUUUGUAGGUUCCCUCCCCUGUGCUCCCAACCCGGGCCCGAACCCGGCCUGUGACCCAGAGGGUUCUGGGUGGACAGCUUGGUGUGGUGGAGGGCAGGUCCCUCCGCCUGGUGCAAGGCUGUCCCCGGGUUCUAACCAGGCUGCCUUCUAGCAAAACUGGAACCCCCACCUCCAGAUAUUUCCGGACACCCCUCCCGUCCUCUCUAGUUCCUUUAUGCUUUUUGUGGACUCUGACGUCUUCUAUUUAAAUGCAAGUAGUAGCAGCUGCACUGGCACAGUGAUGUCUCCUACACGGGAUCCUCACAUCUCACAGAGGGAGGACGCCGAGGCUCAGAAAGACCCAAGUAACUUCCAAGUUGCUCGCAGUAACUGGGAGCCCAGCAGGGACUAGAACCCAGGUGUCCGGAGCCCAGAGCCUGCCCCGGAACCUCACCGUGUGAGACAGUGGUAGCAGGGACUUCUUGCUGGACAAUGGAUAGGUGACAGGGGUUCGGUGACAGUGAGCACAGGGUUCGCUGGGGAUGGAAUCAAAGACGCGGGCAGAGGAGGGUGCUAGGAGGUGGACAAAGGGGACAGCUGCUGCUCCCCCACUUUCCCCAGUUCCGGCUCUGCUGCCCUGUCUGGCUUGGCUGCCUCCUGCGCCUGGCCAUGCUGCCCUCCUGCCUGUCUUCAACCAGCGCCGUGCUGCAAUAAAACGGGCCCUUAGCCCACCGUCUGUGUCGGUCUCAGUUCUCGGUGGGGAGGGAUGAGAUGCGUUGUCCUCCCCGCUUCCCCUGCAGCCUGUAUUAGAGAGGAUCUCUAAGCCCCGUGGCAGUGGGGCUAAUGACUUCCUGGAGGGGAGCUGGGGAGGGCUGCUGGCCGUUGCGCGCCCCCACCCCCACCCCAGGCCAGCGGCGGAAAGAAGUGCUCGCUCAGAACAGAGGCGGGCAGCAGCGCGGCUCCUGGAAUAGCCCGGGGCCUCGUUUUCCCCUGGACCCGGGGGUCCGCUGCUCUCCAAAUUCUUGCUCUUCUCGCAAGUUCCCUUUGGCAUCCAGGACCAGCCUCCCUCAUUCCCACGAUUCAGGCGUCUAACUCCCCGCCCUCGGCUCUCUGGCGGCCAGCGCUCUCGCCUUCCCCAUUCCUGGGUGGGCACCGCGCGGAGGGUGAAGAGGUGGAGGGAGCCUGGGCGCCGCCCCGCGGGAGCUGAGCUCCGGAGCGGCGGAGACUGCGAUCUCGAAAAGUACCACGCGGGGGCGCCAGGACGCGUGCGGACGCGGGCGAGGCAGCGCAAGGUGGUUUUCGUCCGUGUGAGUGUGUCCAUGGGCGUCUUUGUGUGUCUGCAUUUCUGCACAUGUGUGUACGAGUUAGGGGGUGUCUGGGUGGUAUAUAUUCUGGAAUACAUGUCUGGGGUACCCCAGAAUCAGGUACUCCAAGUGGCUUCUUGAUGAGGAGGAUGCUUGAUACGUUACUAUGUACGUGUGGAUGGGGAGGCAAGCGACUGUGUGUAUCAUCGCGUGUGCA